rnacentral:rRNA from 1 species
UACGUAGGGUGCAAGCGUUGUCCGGAAUUAUUGGGCGUAAAGAGCUCGUAGGCGGUUUGUCGCGUCUGCUGUGAAAACCCGAGGCUCAACCUCGGGCCUGCAGUGGGUACGGGCAGACUAGAGUGCGGUAGGGGAGAUCGGAAUUCCUGGUGUAGCGGUGAAAUGCGCAGAUAUCAGGAGGAACACCGGUGGCGAAGGCGGAUCUCUGGGCCUUACCUGACGCUCAGGCGCGAAAGCUAGGGGAGCGAACAGG